rnacentral:rRNA from 1 species
GGGAGGUUUGGCACCUCGAUGUCGGCUCAUCGCAUCCUGGGGCUGAAGAAGGUCCCAAGGGUUUGGCUGUUCGCCAAUUAAAGCGGUACGUGAGCUGGGUUUAGACCGUCGUGAGACAGGUCGGUCCCUAUCUGGUGUGGGUGUAGGAUGAUUGAGGAGGAUUGCCCCUAGUACGAGAGGAUUGGGGUGGACGAACCUCUGGUGCUCCAGUUAUCACGCUAGUGGUACAGCUGGGUAGCUAAGUUCGGAACGGAUAAGCGCUGAAUGCAUCUAAGCGCGAAGCCUUCUCCAAGACGAGUCAUCCCUAUCAGUCCCCUGGAAGACUACCAGGUUGAUAGGCCGGCGGUGUAAGCACAGCGAUGUGUUCAGCUUACCGGUACUAAUCGGACGAUUGGCUUAGCCACCUUCUCCU